UGCGUCCCUCAGAAGCAGUGCAAAGGCUUGGAGGAGUCAGGGGUAAUGGCAGAGGUGAGGGAGAAGGAAGUGAUUGCUUGGAAGGAGCCUGGGUAAAAAUGUGGAGGGCUGUUGUCUGUGGGUGGG